rnacentral:rRNA from 1 species
UGGGGAAUCUUGGACAAUGGGGGCAACCCUGAUCCAGCCAUGCCGCGUGAGCGAUGAAGGCCUUAGGGUUGUAAAGCUCUUUCAGCGAGGAAGAUAAUGACGGUACUCGCAGAAGAAGCCCCGGCUAACUCCGUGCCAGCAGCCGCGGUAAUACGGAGGGGGCUAGCGUUGUUCGGAAUUACUGGGCGUAAAGCGCACGUAGGCGGAUCAGUUAGUCGGGGGUGAAAUCCCGGGGCUCAACCCCGGAACUGCCUUCGAUACUGCUGGUCUGGAGGUCGAGAGAGGUGAGUGGAAUUCCGAGUGUAGAGGUGAAAUUCGUAGAUAUUCGGAGGAACACCAGUGGCGAAGGCGGCUCACUGGCUCGAUACUGACGCUGAGGUGCGAAAGCGUGGGGAGCAAACAGG